GCCGGUGUGGCGGAAUGGUAGACGCGGCGGACUCAAAAUCCGCUUAUGGUGACAUAGUGUAGGUUCGAGUCCUAUCACCGGUACCA
rnacentral:tRNA from 1 species